UACGGGGGGGGCAAGCGUUGUUCGGAAUUACUGGGCGUAAAGGGCUCGUAGGCUGCCAACUAAGUCGGACGUGAAAUCCCUCGGCUUAACCGGGGAACUGCGUCCGAUACUGGAUGGCUUGAGUUUGGGAGAGGGAUGCGGAAUUCCAGGUGUAGCGGUGAAAUGCGUAGAGAUCAGCAGGAACACCCGUGGCGAAGGCGGCCCCCUGGGCCGUACCUGACGCUGAGGCGCGAAGGCUAGGGGAGCGAACGGG
rnacentral:rRNA from 1 species